UACGGGGGGUGCGAGCGUUGUCCGGAAUCACUGGGCGUAAAGCGUGCGCAGGCGGUCCGCUAAGACAGAUGUGAAAUCCCCGGGCUUAACCUGGGAACUGCAUUUGUGACUGGCGGGCUAGAGUAUGGCAGAGGGGGGUAGAAUUCCACGUGUAGCAGUGAAAUGCGUAGAGAUGUGGAGGAAUACCGAUGGCGAAGGCAGCCCCCUGGGCCAAUACUGACGCUCAUGCACGAAAGCGUGGGGAGCAAACAGG
rnacentral:rRNA from 1 species